rnacentral:rRNA from 1 species
CCUACGGGUGGCAGCAGUGGGGAAUAUUGCACAAUGGGGGAAACCCUGAUGCAGCGACGCCGCGUGAGUGAAGAAGUAUUUCGGUAUGUAAAGCUCUAUCAGCAGGGAAGAAAAUGAAGGUACCUGACUAAUAAGCCCCGGCUAACUACGGGCCAGAACCCGCGGUAAGACGGCGGGGGCAAGCGUUAUCCGGAUGUACUGGGUGGAAAGGGAGCGUAGACGGCCAGACAAGUCAGUAGUGAAAGCCCAGGGCUCAACCCUGGGACUGCUUUUGAAACUGCCGGGCUUGAGUGCAGGAGAGGUAAGCGGAAUUCCUAGUGUAGCGGUGAAAUGCGUAGAUAUUAGGAGGAACACCAGUGGCGAAGGCGGCUUACUGGACUGUAACUGACGUUGAGGCUCGAAAGCGUGGGGAGCAAACAGGAUUAGAUACCCCUGUAGUC